UGGGCUUAGGUUCUUCCCUUUUAAAACAAGUUUUCAGGACACAGAUUUUGGGAAGCCAUGCAAAUAAAAGCAGAAGCUGUUUUCCCUUUGGAAAUGGCCACCUGCCUGAGGACAGUACCCCUGGACUGCAGAGAGAUGUUCCCUCGGCUAUUCUGAAGGAUAGAGUUUGGGGCCUGAAAAUUUCGAACAAUUAAAGCCAAUUAAUAGGUUUGUUUUUCUUUUUAUCUGGCAGCCAGAAGAAGAACCAGCAAGACUCAGGAGUUGCCCUGACAUUCUUGUGACGUAUGACAGUCAGAUUCUCCAGAGAGACAGAACCAACAAGAUCAACUUCUCAUCAGUGAAUUCCUCAGGAACCACCUCUAGGAGCUCCUCAGUGGCAUCAUCAUCCGCAUCCCAGUUAAAGUUGCUUGCCAUCUCAACCACAGCCUUGAAAAUGAUGUAUGAGCGAAGACAGCAGAGUGACAAGAACAACCUGCAGGGGAGAACCUCACACACAGGAAUAUGUUAAGUGCUAUUCUGCCAGAGGUUGCUCAAACCAGAUGCUAUUGAAGAACAGCAAACAUUAAUAUGAUACAAGAUUGAAAACGUCAGAGGGACAUAAAGAUCUGCCUUUCCUGUGGGAUUGUAAAAGGUUCUAGCAGAACAAGGAAAAGAAAACAGACUGCAAAGAAAACUCAGGAAGCCCAAUGAAGAGGGCACUUUGGGUCCUGAAGCACAUUUGGUGAUGGCACCUAUCUGAUGGACACCUAACAAUGUUCCCUGCCUGCAUUGUAUGUAUGUAAUGCAUAGUGAAUAAGUGUGAUGUUAAGAGUUACUUGCCAAAUUCCAUUUGGCAUUGUAUCUCAGAGUAUCUGUUAGUUUUUCUGGAAAUAUAACUACCAUAAUGGACCUUAAAAACGCACAAAUGGUAUUCUCUACCUGAAAAUUGUUUGGAUUAACUUUUGAUCUUUUGCCUGGUUAAAGACUUAAAAGUUUUUAUGUUAGAUCUUGCUUAAACUAUAUCUUAU